rnacentral:rRNA from 1 species
AUUGAACGCUGGCGGCAGGCCUAACACAUGCAAGUCGAGCGGAGCGGCGGACGGGUGAUUAAUGCCUAGUAAUCUGCCUGGUAGCGGUGGAUAACGUCCGGAAACGGGCGCUAAUACCGCAUACUAUCAGAUUAGCCUAUGUCGGAUUAGCGAGUUGGUGGGGUAAAGGCCUACCAAGGCGACGAUCCGUAACUGGUCUGAGAGGAUGAUCAGUCCCACUGGAACUGAGACACGGUCCAGACUCCUAAGGUAGGCAGCAGUGGGGAAUAUUGGACAAUGGGCGAAAGCCUGAUCCAGCCAUGCCGCGUGUGUGAAGAAGGUCUUCGGAUUGUAAAGCACUUUAAGUUGGGAGGCGUUACCAACAGAAUAAGCACCGGCUAACUUCGUGCCAGCAGCCGCGGUAAUAC